AACUUUCAACAACGGAUCUCUUGGCUCUCGCAUCGAUGAAGAACGCAGCGAAAUGUGAUAAGUAAUGUGAAUUGCAGAAUUCAGUGAAUCAUCGAAUCUUUGAACGCAUCUUGCACUCCUUGGUAUUCCGAGGAGUAUGUCUGUUUGAGUGUCAU
rnacentral:rRNA from 2 species